rnacentral:rRNA from 1 species
UACGUAGGGGGCAAGCGUUGUCCGGAUUUAUUGGGCGUAAAGAGCGUGUAGGCGGUUUGGUAGGUCCGCUGUGAAAACUCGAGCUCAACCUCGAGACGCCGGUGGAAACCAUCAGACUAGAGUCCGGAAGAGGAGAGUGGAAUUCCUGGAUGUAGCGGUGAAAUGACGCAGAGUAUCAGGAAGAACACCCGUGGCUAAGGCGGCUCUCUAGUACGGUACUGACGCUGAGACGCGAAAGCGUGGGGAGCGAACAGG